GGAGGCUUGGCUCAAGUGGUAGAGCACGUGCCUGGUGAGCAUGAGGCCCUGAGUUCAAACCCCACUGCCCCUG
rnacentral:tRNA from 1 species